rnacentral:rRNA from 1 species
AACGAACGCUGGCGGCAUGCCUAACACAUGCAAGUCGAACGAGACCAUCGGGACCAGUGGCGCACGGGUGCGUAACGCGUGGGAACCUGCCCUUAGGUUUGGAAUAACUCCCCGACAGGGGUGCCAAUACCGGAUAAUGUCUUCGGACGAAAGAUUUAUCGACUUUGAAUGUGCCGGCGUUGGAUUAGCUAGUUGUUAGAGUAAAAGCCUACCAAGGCGACGAUCCAUAGCUGGUCUGAGAGGAUGAUCAGCCACACUGGGACUGAGACACGGCCCAGACUCCUACGGGAGGCAGCAGUGGGGAAUAUUGGACAAUGGGCGAAAGCCUGAUCCAGCAAUGCCGCGUGAGUGAUGAAGGCCUUAGGGUUGUAAAGCUCUUUUACCCGGGAUGAUAAUGACAGUACCGUGAGAAUAAGCUCCGGCUAACUCCGUG